GACGAACGCUGGCGGCGCGCCUAACACAUGCAAGUCGAGCGAGAACCAGGACUUCGGUCCUGGGGACAGCGGCGAACGGGUGAGUAACACGUGGAUAACCUGCCCUCGGCACCGGAAUAGCCCGGGGAAACUCGGAUUAAUGCCGGAUAGCCCCACAGCCCUGAGGGGCGGUGGGAAAAGGUAGCUUCGGCCUCUGGCCGAGGAUGGGUCCGCGGCGGAUUAGCUAGUUGGUGAGGUAACGGCUCACCAAGGCGACGAUCCGUAGCUGGUCUGAGAGGACGAACAGCCACACUGGGACUGAGACACGGCCCAGACUCCUACGGGUGGCAG
rnacentral:rRNA from 1 species